CUAUAGACCGCCAAACUCCUGAACGGAAUAUAAGGGAAUCCUCCAAACUCCCGAACAGAGAAUCAUACGAACUCCUCCUCUCCUGGAAUAGGCGAAAGAAUACUCCAAAGUAGCAAUCCCCCCAAACACGAGACCAAGCUCCGUCUUGAGGGUAAAACAGGAAUCUGCUUUAAUGAGGGCUACCUGCCCGGUAUUUAUGCAGGUCUCCCACCUGGUGGACACUCCCCUAGGGGACCAGAUGGAAGAAUGGGACAAGUACAUUAGCCAAUCACAGUGGCUCAGACAUAAACCCUCCCCUUUGUACAAGCAACCCCUCCUCUCUAUCCUGGAGAUAAUUGGGAAGAAAUCCAAUUAUCUCCAUGGAUAGAGGCAAAACGCCAUUUUAAAUAAU